rnacentral:rRNA from 1 species
AGGGCACCACCAGGAGUGGAGCCUGCGGCUUAAUUUGACCCUACACGGGAAAACUCACCCGGCCCGGACACCGUAAGGAUUGACAGAUUGAGAGCUCUUUCUUGAUUCGGUGGGUGGUGGUGCAUGGCCGUUCUUAGUUGGUGGAGCGAUUUGUCUGGUUAAUUCCGAUAACGAACGAGACUCUAGCCUGCUAAAUAGGCAGCGGAUUCUUAGUCCGCUGUACUCCUUAGAGGGACAAGCAGCGUCUAGCUGCACGAGAUUGAGCAAUAACAGGUCUGUGAUGCCCUUAGAUGUUCGGGGCUGCACGCGCGCUACACUGAAGGAAUCAACAUGCUUCUCAACCUUGCCCGGAAGGGCUAGGUAACCCGUUGAAACUCCUUCGUGAUUGGGAUAGGGAAUUGCAAUUAUUUCCCUUGAACGAGGAAUUCCCAGUAAGUGCGGGUCAUCAGCUCGCGCUGAUUACGUCCCUGCCCUUUGUACACACCGCCCGUCGCUACUACCGAUUGGAAGUAGACGAGA